rnacentral:rRNA from 1 species
GAUGAACGCUGGCGGCGUGCUUAACACAUGCAAGUCGAACGGUGAAGCUCCAGCUUGCUGGCGUGGAUCAGUGGCGAACGGGUGAGUAACACGUGAGCAACCUGCCCCUGACUCUGGGAUAACAGCCGGAAACGGCUGCUAAUACCGGAUAUGCACCAUGAACGCAUGUUCUGUGGUGGGAAAGAUUUUUCGGUUGGGGAUGGGCUCGCGGCUUAUCAGCUUGUUGGUGAGGUAAUGGCUCACCAAGGCGUCGACGGGUAGCCGGCCUGAGAGGGUGACCGGCCACACUGGGACUGAGACACGGCCCAGACUCCUACGGGAGGCAGCAGUGGGGAAUAUUGCACAAUGGGCGAAAGCCUGAUGCAGCAACGCCGCGUGAGGGAUGACGGCCUUCGGGUUGUAAACCUCUUUUAGCAGGGAAGAAGCGAGAGUGACGGUACCUGCAGAAAAAGCGCCGGCUAACUACGUG